AACGAACGCUGGCGGCGUGGAUAAGACAUGCAAGUCGAACGAGAGAAUUGCUAGCUUGCUAAUAAUUCUCUAGUGGCGCACGGGUGAGUAACACGUGAGUAACCUGCCCCCAAGAGGGGGAUAGCCCCGGGAAACUGGGAUUAAUACCGCAUAAAAUCGCAAGAUUAAAGCAGCAAUGCGCUUGGGGAUGGGCUCGCGUCCUAUUAGUUAGUUGGUGAGGUAACGGCUCACCAAGGCGAUGACGGGUAGCCGGUCUGAGAGGAUGUCCGGCCACACUGGAACUGAGACACGGUCCAGACACCUACGGGUGGCAGCAGUCGAGAAUCAUUCACAAUGGGGGAAACCCUGAUGGUGCGACGCCGCGUGGGGGAAUGAAGGUCUUCGGAUUGUAAACCCCUGUCAUGUGGGAGCAAAUUAAAAAGAUAGUACCACAAGAGGAAGAGACGGCUAACUCUGUGCCAGCAGCCGCGGUAAUACAGAGGUCUCAAGCGUUGUUCGGAAUCACUGGGCGUAAAGCGUGCGUAGGCGGUUUCGUAAGUCGUGUGUGAAAGGCGGGGGCUCAACCCCCGGACUGCACAUGAUACUGCGAGACUAGAGUAAUGGAGGGGGAACCGGAAUUCUCGGUGUAGCAGUGAAAUGCGUAGAUAUCGAGAGGAACACUCGUGGCGAAGGCGGGUUCCUGGACAUUAACUGACGCUGAGGCACGAAGGCCAGGGGAGCGAAAGGGAUUAGAUACCCCUGUAGUCCUGGCAGUAAACGGUGCACAAGGGGUGUGCGGGGAAUCGACCCCCUGCGUGCCGGAGCUAACGCGU
rnacentral:rRNA from 1 species